rnacentral:tRNA from 1 species
UAGCUCAGUGGUAGAGCACUUGCCUAACAUGUAUGAGGCACUGGGUUUGAUUCUCAG